UACGUAGGGUGCGAGCGUUAAUCGGAAUUACUGGGCGUAAAGCGUGCGCAGGCGGUUAUAUAAGACAGAUGUGAAAUCCCCGGGCUCAACCUGGGAACUGCAUUUGUGACUGUAUAGCUAGAGUACGGUAGAGGGGGAUGGAAUUCCGCGUGUAGCAGUGAAAUGCGUAGAUAUGCGGAGGAACACCGAUGGCGAAGGCAAUCCCCUGGGCCUGUACUGACGCUCAUGCACGAAAGCGUGGGGAGCAAACAGG
rnacentral:rRNA from 1 species